GGUCUGUGAUGCCCUUAGAUG
rnacentral:siRNA from 1 species